rnacentral:rRNA from 2 species
AUCCGCCGAUGUUCCUCCGAUGACUCGGCGGGGAGCUUUCCCCGGGAAACCAAAGCUUUUGGGUUCCGGGGGAAGUAUGGUUGCAAAGCUGAAACUUAAAGGAAUUGACGGAAGGGCACCACCAGGAGUGGAGUAUGCGGCUUAAUUUGACUCAACACGGGAAACCUCACCAGGCCCGGACAUUGGAAGGAUUGACAGAUCGAUAGCUCUUUCUCGAUUCAGUGGGUAGUGGUGCAUGGCCGUUCUUAGUCGGUGAAGUGAUUUGUCUGGUUAAUUCCGAUAACGGACGAGACUCUAGCCUAUUAACUAGGCGUCUCCAGUAUCGCUCGCUACUGGCGAUAAUUUUUUCUUCUUAAGGGGACAGGCGGCGGUCAGCCGCACGAGAUUGAGCAAUAACAGGUCAGGUAUGCCCUUAGAUGUUCUGGGCCGCACGCGCACUACAAUGAAGGAAUCAGCGUGUGCAUCCCUGACCGAAAGGUCCGGGUAACCCGCUGAACCUCCUUCGUGAUAGGAAUUGGGGCUUGCAAUUGUUCCCCAUGAACGAGGAAUUCCCAGUAAGCGCAAGUCAUAAGCUUGCGUUGAUUACGUCCCUGCCCUUUGUACACACCGCCCGUCGCUACUACCGAUUGAAUGAUUUAGUGAGGUCUUCGGACCGGCGACAACCGGUACUGACUCGUUCGGCACCGGUUUCGCUGGAAAGAUGACCGAACUUGAUCAUUUAGAGGAAGUAAAAGUCG